rnacentral:rRNA from 1 species
GACGAACGCUGGCGGCGUGCUUAACACAUGCAAGUCGAACGCUGAAGCUCAGCUUUUGUUGGGUGGAUGAGUGGCGAACGGGUGAGUAACACGUGAGUAACCUGCCUCCUUCUUUGGGAUAACGCCCGGAAACGGGUGCUAAUACUGGAUAUUCACUGGUCUUCGCAUGGGGGUUGGUGGAAAGGGUUUUUCUGGUGGGGGAUGGGCUCGCGGCCUAUCAGCUUGUUGGUGGGGUGAUGGCCUACCAAGGCUUUGACGGGUAGCCGGCCUGAGAGGGGGACCGGUCACAUUGGGACUGAGAUACGGCCCAGACUCCUACGGGAGGCAGCAGUGGGGAAUAUUGCACAAUGGGCGCAAGCCUGAUGCAGCGACGCCGCGUGAGGGAUGGAGGCCUUCGGGUUGUGAACCUCUUUCGCUCAUGGUCAAGCCGCAACAAUGGUUGUGGUGAGGGUAGUGGGUAAAGAAGCGCCGGCUAACUACGUG